rnacentral:rRNA from 1 species
UUAACCGUAUAGGGGAGCCGAAGGGAAACCGAGUCUUAACUGGGCGUUAAGUUGCAGGGUAUAGACCCGAAACCCGGUGAUCUAGCCAUGGGCAGGUUGAAGGUUGGGUAACACUAACUGGAGGACCGAACCGACUAAUGUUGAAAAAUUAGCGGAUGACUUGUGGCUGGGGGUGAAAGGCCAAUCAAACCGGGAGAUAGCUGGUUCUCCCCGAAAGCUAUUUAGGUAGCGCCUCGUGAACUCAUCUUCGGGGGUAGAGCACUGUUUCGGCUAGGGGGUCAUCCCGACUUACCAACCCGAUGCAAACUGCGAAUACCGAAGAAUGUUAUCACGGGAGACACACGGCGGGUGCUAACGUCCGUCGUGAAGAGGGAAACAACCCAGACCGCCAGCUAAGGUCCCAAAGUCACAGUUAAGUGGGAAACGAUGUGGGAAGGCCCAGACAGCCAGGAUGUUGGCUUAGAAGCAGCCAUCAUUUAAAGAAAGCGUAAUAGCUCACUGGUCGAGUCGGCCUGCGCGGAAGAUGUAACGGGGCUAAACCAUGCACCGAAGCUGCGGCAGCGACGCUGAUGCGUUGUUGGGUAGGGGAGCGUUCUGUAAGCCUGUGAAGGUGGCCUGUGAGGGUUGCUGGAGGUAUCAGAAGUG